rnacentral:rRNA from 1 species
UACGUAGGGUGCAAGCGUUAAUCGGAAUUACUGGGCGUAAAGCGUGCGCAGGCGGUUGUGUAAGACAGAUGUGAAAUCCCCGGGCUCAACCUGGGAACUGCAUUUGUGACUGCACAGCUGGAGUGCGGCAGAGGGGGAUGGAAUUCCGCGUGUAGCAGUGAAAUGCGUAGAUAUGUGGAGGAACACCGAUGGCGAAGACAGCCCCCUGGGAUGUGACUGACGCUCAUGUACGAAAGCGUGGGGAGCAAACAGG